GCUUCAUGUCCCUGAGCUCACGUUCAAGCCGGCUGAUCCAGUUUCCCAAGCUCUGCUAAUAUCUCAGCCUAAUGACCAAAUGCUGCUCACACCCAAGUCUACCGACCCGGUCACCCAAGUUCAGCCCACUGACACGCACAGCCAAGUUCUGCUCACGCGCCGGUCUGCCGACAGGCCCAGCCAAGUUCCGCUCACGCCACAGUCUGCUGACACGCCCAGCCAAGUUCCGCUCACGCCACAGUCUGCUGACACGCCCAGCCAAGCUCUGCUCGCGCCCCAGUCUGUGGACACGCACAGCCAAGCUCUGCUCGCGCCCCAGUCUGCUGACACGCCCAGCCAAGCUCCGCUCGCGCCCCAGUCUGCUGACACGCCUAGCCAAGCUCCGCCCACGCCACAGUCUGCUGACACGGCCAGCCAAGCUCCGCCCAUGCCCAAGUCUGCUGACACGCCUAGCCAAGCUCCGCUCGCGCCACAGUCUGCUGACACGCACCGCCAAGCUCCGCCCACGCCACAGUCUGCUGACACGGCCAGCCAAGCUCCGCCCAUGCCCAAGGUUCACCUAGUGACCUCAGAGCCUCAGUCUCCCUGUUCAGCUGUGGACAUCGCUCAGCCUCCCAGUUCAGCUGUGGACGUCACUCAGCCUCCCUAUUCAGCUGUGGACGUCGCUCAGCCUCCCUGUUCAGC
ensembl:lncRNA